UGAAGUGUUUCUUUACAGAUCACAAUGUAUUGUCCGUUUUGUGGCGCUGCAGUGGAAAGCUGUCCUGCAUUUUGCAGUGCAUGUGGCCAUAGUAUAAAAUUUCUGAAGAAUGUUUCCAACAAAGUUCCUGAUGAAAAUCAGCCAAGCACAAGUGAAGCACAAAAUACAGGGAGAAGUUCAUUGGAUUCCUUCAUGAAGUUCAGGGCUUUGAAAGAGAAGGAGAGGAAAACAUUCUUUACUAAGAAAUGCCAGGCAUCUAAGAAGGAUAAGAAAACUGUAAAGAUUUAUGUUGGAGUUAUGUGGAGACAUAAUGGUGUACUAAAGCCUGUUAGAGGGAAGACCCUGCCUCUUGAGGUUCAACCUAAUUGGUCUUCAGAGCAACUAUUAACUGCUGCUGUAAAAAAAAGUAAAAGAUUUUAAUCAAGACAUACAAGAUGGCCCCUAUGUGUUGCUGUACCCCGAUGGAGCAGAAGUGAAACACAUUCCAGGAACAAACACACCUUUCAGAAUAGAACUGUACAAAGAGGCACUAGGGAAGGCUUACCAACGAAUAACUCUGUUCACAUGCACUGGUCAAGACUUUUCAGUCAAUGGUAAGCAAAUUUUACUUUGAAUAAUUCCCACCUAGACAACACAUUUACAACAAUAUAUACAGAAAUCAGUUAUAAUCAAAGCACAUUUUUCAAAGACCCAUA